rnacentral:rRNA from 1 species
CUAGCGACUUCAGAGUUUGAUCCUGGCUCAGGAUGAACGCUGGCGGCGUGCCUAACACAUGCAAGUCGAACGGGGAAGUAGCAAUACUUCCUAGUGGCGAACGGGUGAGUAACACGUAGGUAACCUGCCUUUUAGUUGGGGAUACCCCGAAGAAAUUCGGGCUAAUACCGUAAUAUGAUCAUUGGAGGCAUCUCUGAUGGUUGAAAGGGGCUUCGGCCUCGCUAAUAGAUGGACCUGCGGCGCAUUAGCUAGUUGGUGAGAUAAAAGCCCACCAAGGCGAGGAUGCGUAGCCGACCUGAGAGGGUGAUCGGCCACAAUGGGACUGAGACACGGCCCAU